UACGGGGGGAGCAAGCGUUGUUCGGAUUUACUGGGCGUAAAGGGCGCGUAGGCGGCGCAACAAGUCACUUGUGAAAUCUCCGGGCUUAACCCGGAGCGGCCAAGUGAUACUGUCGUGCUAGAGUGCGGAAGGGGCUACUGGAAUUCUCGGUGUAGCGGUGAAAUGCGUAGAUAUCGAGAGGAACACCUGCGGCGAAGGCGGGUUGCUGGGCUGACACUGACGCUGAGGCGCGAAAGCCAGGGGAGCGAACGGG
rnacentral:rRNA from 1 species